rnacentral:rRNA from 1 species
CAGUAGCCGCGGUAAUACGUAGGUGGCAAGCGUUGUCCGGAAUUAUUGGGCGUAAAGGGCUCGCAGGCGGUUUCUUAAGUCUGAUGUGAAAGCCCCCGGCUCAACCGGGGAGGGUCAUUGGAAACUGGGAAACUUGAGUGCAGAAGAGGAGAGUGGAAUUCCACGUGUAGCGGUGAAAUGCGUAGAGAUGUGGAGGAACACCAGUGGCGAAGGCGACUCUCUGGUCUGUAACUGACGCUGAGGAGCGAAAGCGUGGGGAGCGAACAGGAUUAGAUACCCGGGUAGUCCCUGUCUCUUAUAC